rnacentral:rRNA from 1 species
AUUGAACGCUGGCGGCAUGCCUUACACAUGCAAGUCGAACGGUAACAGGGAGCUUGCUCCGCUGACGAGUGGCGAACGGGUGAGUAAAGUAUCGGAACGUACCUUUCAGUGGGGGAUAACGUAGCGAAAGUUACGCUAAUACCGCAUAUUCUGUGAGCAGGAAAGCAGGGGAUCGCAAGACCUUGCGCUGAUUGAGCGGCCGAUAUCAGAUUAGCUAGUUGGUGAGGUAAAGGCUCACCAAGGCGACGAUCUGUAGCGGGUCUGAGAGGAUGAUCCGCCACACUGGAACUGAGACACGGUCCAGACUCCUACGGGAGGCAGCAGUGGGGAAUUUUGGACAAUGGGGGCAACCCUGAUCCAGCCAUGCCGCGUGAGUGAAGAAGGCCUUC